rnacentral:rRNA from 1 species
GACGAACGCUGGCGGCGUGCUUAACACAUGCAAGUCGAACGGAAAGGCCUGUCCUUCCUUGUGUUGGACGGGUACUCGAGUGGCGAACGGGUGGGUAACACGUGAGUGAUCUGCCCCCAACUUGGGUAUAAGCCUGGGAAACUGGGUCUAAUUCCCGAUAGGACUGCAGGGUGGUGCCUGUGGUGGAAAACGAUUUUCUAGUGGUUGGGGAUGAGCUCGCGGCCUAUCAGCUUGUUGGUGGGGUAAUGGCCUACCAAGGCGGCGACGGGUAGCCGGCCUGAGAGGGUGGACGGCCACAUUGGGACUGAGAUACGGCCCAGACUCCUACGGGAGGCAGCAGUGGGGAAUAUUGCACAAUGGGCGGAAGCCUGAUGCAGCGACGCCGCGUGGGGGAUGACGGCCUUCGGGUUGUAAACUCCUUUCGACCGCGAGGAAGCCGCCUGGUUGGAAGGGUGGUGACGGUAGUGGUAGAAGAAGCACCGGCUAACUACGUG